UUCUUAGUGGCGGACGGGUGAGUAACACGUGAGCAACCUGCCUUUGAGAGAGGGAUAGCUUCUGGAAACGGAUGGUAAUACCUCAUGACAUAUUCUUAUCGCAUGGUAGGGAUAUCAAAGAUUUAUCACUCAAAGAUGGGCUCGCGUCUGAUUAGCUAGUUGGUGAGGUAACGGCUCACCAAGGCGACGAUCAGUAGCCGGACUGAGAGGUUGAACGGCCACAUUGGGACUGAGACACGGCCCAGACUCCUACGGGAGGCAGCAGUGGGGAAUAUUGCACAAUGGGGGAAACCCUGAUGCAGCGAUGCCGCGUGGAGGAAGAAGGUUUUCGGAUUGUAAACUCCUGUCUUAAAGGACGAUAAUGACGGUACUUUAGGAGGAAGCUCCGGCUAACUACGUGCCAGCAGCCGCGGUAAUACGUAGGGAGCGAGCGUUGUCCGGAAUUACUGGGUGUAAAGGGAGCGUAGGCGGGAUUGCAAGUCAGGUGUGAAAUACAUGGGCUUAACCCAUGGGCUGCACUUGAAACUGUAGUUCUUGAGUGAAGUAGAGGCAAGCGGAAUUCCUGGUGUAGCGGUGAAAUGCGUAGAUAUCAGGAGGAACACCGGUGGCGAAGGCGGCUUGCUGGGCUUUUACUGACGCUGAGGCUCGAAAGCGUGGGGAGCAAACAGG
rnacentral:rRNA from 1 species